rnacentral:rRNA from 1 species
AACGAACGCUGGCGGCAGGCUUAACACAUGCAAGUCGAGCGCCCCGCAAGGGGAGCGGCAGACGGGUGAGUAACGCGUGGGAAUCUACCCAUCUCUACGGAAUAACGCAUGGAAACGUGUGCUAAUACCGUAUACGUCCUUCGGGAGAAAGAUUUAUCGGAGAUGGAUGAGCCCGCGUUGGAUUAGCUCGUUGGUGGGGUAAAGGCCUACCAAGGCGACGAUCCAUAGCUGGUCUGAGAGGAUGAUCAGCCAUACUGGGACUGAGACACGGCCCAGACUCCUACGGGAGGCAGCAGUGGAGAAUAUUGGACAAUGGGCGCAAGCCUGAUCCAGCCAUGCCGCGUGAGUGAUGAAGGCCCUAGGGUUGUAAAGCUCUUUCACCGGUGAAGAUAAUGACGGUAACCGGAGAAGAAGCCCCGGCUAACUUCGUGCCAGCCGCCGCCGUAAAAC